UACAGAGGUCCCAAGCGUUGUUCGGAUUCAUUGGGCGUAAAGGGUGCGUAGGCGGCGCGGUAAGUCGGGUGUGAAAUCUCGGAGCUUAACUCCGAAACUGCAUUCGAUACUGCCGUGCUUGAGGACUGGAGAGGAGACUGGAAUUUACGGUGUAGCGGUGAAAUGCGUAGAUAUCGUAAGGAAGACCAGUGGCGAAGGCGGGUCUCUGGGCAGUUCCUGACGCUGAGGCACGAAGGCCAGGGGAGCAAACGGG
rnacentral:rRNA from 1 species